GGAAUAUUGGACAAUGGGCGCAAGCCUGAUCCAGCCAUGCCGCGUGAGUGAUGAAGGCCUUCGGGUUGUAAAUCUCUUUUGGCGGGGACGAUGAUGACGGUACCCGCCGAAUAAGCCCCGGCAAACUUCGUGCCAGCAGCCGCGGUAAGACGAAGGGGGCAAGCGUUGUUCGGAAUUACUGGGCGUAAAGGGCCCGUAGGCGGCCGGUUUAGUCAGGUGUGAAAGCCCUGGGCUCAACCUUGGAAUGGCACUUGAUACUGGGUGGCUAGAGAGCGGGAGAGGAUGGUGGAAUUCCCAGUGUAGAGGUGAAAUUCGUAGAUAUUGGGAAGAACACCGGUGGCGAAGGCGGCCAUCUGGACCGUAUCUGACGCUGAGGCGCGAAAGCGUGGGGAGCAAAC
rnacentral:rRNA from 1 species